GAUGAACGCUGGCGGCGUGCCUAAUACAUGCAAGUCGAGCGAACGGACGAGAAGCUUGCUUCUCUGAUGUUAGCGGCGGACGGGUGAGUAACACGUGGAUAACCUACCUAUAAGACUGGGAUAACUUCGGGAAACCGGAGCUAAUACCGGAUGAUAUUUUGAACCGCAUGGUUCAAAAGUGAAAGACGGUCUUGCUGUCACUUAUAGAUGGAUCCGCGCUGCAUUAGCUAGUUGGUAAGGUAACGGCUUACCAAGGCAACGAUGCAUAGCCGACCUGAGAGGGUGAACGGCCACACUGGAACCUAGACACCGGCCAGACCCCCACGGGAGGCCGCAGUAGGGAAUUUUCCGGAAUGGGCGAAAGCCUGACGGAGCAACGCCGCGUGAGUUAUGAAGGUCUUCGGAUCGGAAAACUCUGUUAUUAGGGAAAAACAUAUGUUGAAGUAACUGUGCACAUCUUGACGGUACCUAAUCAGAAAGCCACGGCUAACUACGUG
rnacentral:rRNA from 1 species